UAGGGAAUCUUCGGCAAUGGGGGCAACCCUGACCGAGCAACGCCGCGUGAGUGAAGAAGGUUUUCGGAUCGUAAAGCUCUGUUGUAAGUCAAGAACGGGUGUGAGAGUGGAAAGUUCACACUGUGACGGUAGCUUACCAGAAAGGGACGGCUAACUACGUGCCAGCAGCCGCGGUAAUACGUAGGUCCCGAGCGUUGUCCGGAUUUAUUGGGCGUAAAGCGAGCGCAGGCGGUUUGAUAAGUCUGAAGUUAAAGGCUGUGGCUCAACCAUAGUUCGCUUUGGAAACUGUCAAACUUGAGUGCAGAAGGGGAGAGUGGAAUUCCACGUGUAGCGGUGAAAUGCGUAGAUAUAUGGAGGAACACCGGUGGCGAAAGCGGCUCUCUGGUCUGUAACUGACGCUGAGGCUCGAAAGCGUGGGGAGCGAACAGGAUUAGAUACCCUGGUAGUCCACGCCGUAAACGAUGAGUGCUAGGUGUUGGAUCCUUUCCGGGAUUCAGUGCCGCAGCUAACGCAUUAAGCACUCCGCCUGGGGAGUACGACCGCAAGGUUGAAACGUCUAAAGUG
rnacentral:rRNA from 1 species